rnacentral:rRNA from 1 species
UACGUAGGGUGCAAGCGUUAAUCGGAAUUACUGGGCGUAAAGCGUGCGCAGGCGGCUUUGCAAGACAGAUGUGAAAUCCCCGGGCUUAACCUGGGACUGCAUUUGUGACUGCAUGGCUGGAGUGCGGCAGAGGGGGAUGGAAUUCCGCGUGUAGCAGUGAAAUGCGUAGAUAUGCGGAGGAACACCGAUGGCGAAGGCAAUCCCCGUGGGCCUGCACUGACGUCAUGCACGAAAG